CUACGGGAGGCAGCAGUAAGGAAUAUUGGACAAUGGGCGCAAGCCUGAUCCAGCCAUGCCGCGUGCAGGACUAAGGCCCUAUGGGUUGUAAACUGCUUUUGGACAGAAAAAAAUCUCUCGACGUGUCGAGAGUUGAUGGUACUGUCAGAAUAAGGAUCGGCUAACUCCGUGCCAGCAGCCGCGGUAAUACGGAGGAUCCAAGCGUUAUCCGGAUUUAUUGGGUUUAAAGGGUGCGUAGGCGGAUUAGUAAGUCAGUGGUGAAAGCCUGCAGCUUAACUGUAGAAUUGCCAUUGAUACUGCUAGUCUUGAAUAUAGUUGAGGUGGGCGGAAUAUGACAUGUAGCGGUGAAAUGCUUAGAUAUGUCAUAGAACACCAAUUGCGAAGGCAGCUCGCUAAGCUAUUAUUGACGCUGAGGCACGAAAGCGUGGGGAGCAAACAGGAUUAGAUACCCCGGUAGU
rnacentral:rRNA from 1 species